UACGUAGGGUGCGAGCGUUGUCCGGAAUUAUUGGGCGUAAAGAGCUUGUAGGCGGUUUGUCGCGUCUGCUGUGAAAAUCCGGGGCUCAACCCCGGACUUGCAGUGGGUACGGGCAGACUAGAGUGUGGUAGGGGAGACUGGAAUUCCUGGUGUAGCGGUGGAAUGCGCAGAUAUCAGGAGGAACACCGAUGGCGAAGGCAGGUCUCUGGGCCAUUACUGACACUGGAGAAGCGGAAAGCAUGGGGAGCGAACAGG
rnacentral:rRNA from 1 species